AUGGAAGCUGCAGAUGAGAUCCAGGCUGCUGAUUUGCUGACAUUAGUAAAGGAAGACUGCCAUGCUUUGUGUGUGAGAGUCCGUUUUAGUCACCGAGGUCCACAAACUCAAGAGCAGGACAUAAUCUAGGUGAAGCUAGAUUUUCUUCACAUACUUUAGAAUGUAUUACAACAGAUUGGAUGCAGAAACAGAUAACCUAGCGCUUAAAGAUACUGCCACUCCAAAACGUCAAACCAGAAUUCUCAAGUGUGUGUG